AGCAGAUACUGCCAUGAAGAACCCACAGCCUGGGGAGAGCAUGGAGCUGGACCCUCAGGCUGCUGCAUCUGCUGCCCCCCAGGAUGUGACCUAUGCCCAGCUGACUCACUUGGCCUUCAGAAGGGAGACAAGGGCACCCCCUUCCUUCCCAUCAGAGAAGCCCCCAGAUGAGCCCAGUGUGUACGCUGCUCUGGCCGUCCACUAGCCCAGGAAGGACCUGGAUCCCACACUCCAGGGAGGGGGCCUACAGGGAUGCCAGACGGUACAGAUCUGUCCCCACUGAUUUUCAGCUAGUGGCCCUAGUCAGCCUGGAGACCCGACAUGGACCCCCAGCAGCUUCUGGGACCCUCUGGGAGUCCCCUGAUUCUGCAGUCACAGAUAAGUACUAUCCCUACACUUGGGAAUCAGAGCAACAAACUUUUCAAGCAUCAACAUGUGGAUUUAGAACCGAAACAGAAGGCAGAGAAUGCUUUCAGUGAAUGUAAAUACUGCACAUCAGUCCUACAAAAUAGAACAUUAACAACCAUGAAUGAACAUCUUAGAGAAGAAAAAGGCGAAGGCAUAGAAACCACCUAAGUGUCCUCCCACACGUGCUGAGAUGAAGCUGUGGCAGCCUGUGCGACGGAGUGUCACUCGGUCACAGAGGGGAAAUCCUGUCAGUGCAUCAACACGGAGGCACCGUGAGCAUGUCAUGCUACGUGGGGUAAAUCAGACCACACAGCACAAGGCCCGUGCUACUUCACUUGUAUGUGGGUGAGAUCUGAAAGUCUUCACUGUCUAUGGACUAACUGUGUGGACGUUGUAAUUAAAUACUUUCCUGCAAAGUGAA